rnacentral:rRNA from 1 species
UACGUAGGGUGCAAGCGUUGUCCGGAAUUAUUGGGCGUAAAGAGCUCGUAGGCGGUCCGUCACGUCGGCUGUGAAAACUCGGGGCUCAACCCCGAGCCUGCAGUCGAUACGGGCGGACUAGAGUCCGGCAGGGGAGACUGGAAUUCCUGGUGUAGCGGUGAAAUGCGCAGAUAUCAGGAGGAACACCGGUGGCGAAGGCGGCAUCCUGGACCAAUAUUGACGCUCAUGCACGAAAGCGUGGGGAGCAAACAGG